rnacentral:antisense_RNA from 1 species
CUUGACGGAGCCGAGCCACAGCGGCUGCUCCUCGGAGUGCUCCUGCCCGUAGGUGGCGAGCAGGGCCUGCGCCUC